rnacentral:rRNA from 1 species
AAGCAUAUAAGUAAGCGGAGGACAAGAAACUAAACAGGAUCCCCAUAGUAAUGGCGAAUGAACAGGGAUGAGCUCAGCAUGGAAAUUGGGGCCUGUGGCUUUGACUUGUAAUCUUGAGAGGCAUUGCCAACAGAGGCGCAGAUGUAAGUCUCUUGGAAAAGAGCAUCAAUGAGGGUGAGAGUCCUGUUUGUCAUUUGCAGCCCCCCUGUGCACGGUGUGCCUUCUAAGAGUCACGUUCCUCGGGAUUGGAGCGCAAAGUGGGUGGUAACUUUCAUCUGAAGCUAAACAAUGGUCUGGGACCGAUAGGAAACAAGUACCAUGAGGGAAAGGUGAAAAGGACUUUGGAAAGAGAGUUAAAAGUGCCUGAAAUUGCUGAAGGGGAAGCGAAUGGAACCAGUGGUGCUGGGUGAGAUUGUCGCAUGCUGCAAGGAUUGGUUGCUGCUUCAGCGCAAGCGGAUUGGCAAUUCUUGAGCUGUACGUGUGCGGUGUGUCUUGCCUUGUGUGUCAUUGUGGGUUUAUGCAUUAAGACAAUUCAAAAUGCAUGGCAAUAUGUUUCUGAAUCUAUGAAUGCAUUUUGUUAUGUUUAUGCAUAAGCUUCCUGCUGAAUGUCUGGCUGCAGAGCUUGACGUCCUGAGCCUUGUGCUGGGAUGAGUUGAGCAUUUCCUUCUGCACAGAUCUUGACUAAAUGGUUCUAUUCGACCCGUCUUGAAACACGGGGACC